rnacentral:rRNA from 1 species
CCUACGGGUGGCAGCAGUGAGGAAUAUUGGUCAAUGGACGAGAGUCUGAACCAGCCAAGUAGCGUGAAGGAUGACUGCCCUAUGGGUUGUAAACUUCUUUUAUAUGGGAAUAAAAUGUUCCACGUGUGGGAUUUUGUAUGUACCAUAUGAAUAAGGAUCGGCUAACUCCGUGCCAGCAGCCGCGGUAAUACGGAGGAUCCGAGCGUUAUCCGGAUUUAUUGGGUUUAAGGGGAGCGUAGGUGGAUUGUUAAGUCAGUUGUGAAAGUUUGCGGCUCAACCGUAAAAUUGCAAUUGAAACUGGCAGGCUUGAGUACAGUAGAGGUGGGCGGAAUUCGUGGUGUAGCGGUGAAAUGCUUAGAUAUCACGAAGAACUCCGAUUGCGAAGGCAGCUCACUGGACUGCAACUGACACUGAGGCUCGAAAGUGUGGGUAUCAAACAGGAUUAGAUACCCCGGUAGUC